rnacentral:rRNA from 1 species
UACGGGGGGGGCAAGCGUUGUUCGGAAUUACUGGGCGUAAAGGGCUCGUAGGCGGCCAACUAAGUCGGACGUGAAAUCCCUCGGCUUAACCGGGGAACUGCGUCCGAUACUGGAUGGCUUGAGUUCGGGAGAGGGAUGUGGAAUUCCUGGUGUAGCGGUGAAAUGCGCAGAUAUCAGGAAGAACACCCGUGGCUAAGGCGGCUCUCUAGUACGGUACUGACGCUGAGACGCGAAAGCGUGGGGAGCGAACAGG